GCUCAAAACCCAUCCAGUUUCACGCUCAAAACCUCCAAACUUCCUUUCACACUUUCACACUCAAAACCUCCAAACUUCCUUUCACACUUUCACACUUUCACAUUCAUCUCCAAACUUCCUUUCACACUUUCACAUUCAUCUCCAAACUUCAUCCCUUUCACCCCCAAAACCUUCCAACUUCCUUUACUACUACGAUUGACGAACCGAAACCCUAAAUCCCAACUUCCUUUACUUUUUCUCUUUCACGAUUGAGGAUUUUCACUUCCUACGAGCGUUCUCUGAAUUAGCUCUAUAGUGGGGUAUAUUUUUUUCUCAUUUUAUGGAUUCUUCUCGUUCAACAUUAUCCAGCCUUCUUAUUCUAUCUCAUUAUUUAUGAUUUAGGGCUCUUAAAUUGAAUUUUUUCUUUUCGUUUUUCCUUUUCUACUUUCUUUCACUAUGCCACUAGAGGCUUUGUUUCAUCAGGAUUUGGUUUGGGACUUUGUUUCAAUAUUUGAUACUUCGUUCAAGUUUGAUUUUUGAAAUAAGUAAUGGUAGUGUGGAGUAAAAAAGUAAAAAUCUACAACUUUAGAAUAUUACUACUUAGUUAGGAAGAAAGACAUAUAAAAGCGUAGAUAUAUUGAUAUGGAAACAAACCAUACAAUAAUUAAAAGCUAUAUAGACUGUGUUGCACAAACAAGGGUUUGUAUUUGGUUGUGUAGUUUGCAGAACACAACACAGGAAGACAUCAAAAUAAUAUCACAAAAUGACACAUCAUUUUUGGGUGCAUCUGGUUUGUUUUUUUAUUUGAUUUUAUUGAUUGUGAUAGUGUUGCUCUGAAAGAUUGUUUGAUCUUUGAAGCAUUUUCUGUUCUAAUUAUGUGGAUCCCUUCAUAAAUAUAUCAAGUAAUGAUUGGCUUGCAGUUGAAAGCAUCAACCAGUUUGUGAAUAAUCAAUUGAGAGUUUGAGACCCCAUCUCAUUCAGCUAUUAUUUCUGAUUUUACUAACAACUCAUAUUAUUAGUUCUCUGAAUUAGCUCUGUAGUAAGGUAUCCUUUUUCUCAUUUUAGAAGAGGUCAUGGUACAUAUAGCUUGGCUUUGCAAACUGUGGUGAUGUAUUUUCCAUUAGUCUUGGUUUCACCAUAAGCCUUAAUAAUUUUCUUUCCAACUUUGCAUUUAACCUCCACAACAGCACCUGCUCCAUAUGAAAAUAAGUGCAAUUCAUUAAUCAUUUAUGUUACCAUAAACUAUAUUAUAUUGGGCAGCAUACUAAGAUAAAAGAUGAGUUAAACUAUCCUUAUUAUAUAGUAACAUAUAAUAUAAGCCAGCAUUACGGAAAUAAUAAGCAGUAAAAUGAAACUACUUAGAAUAACUACAUGUCUAGAAGACUAGAAGUGUGUCUACAUUUUUUAGAUUCAAGAUGUUGUAUUUGUUUUUUCUUUUUAAUCUAUUUCCUUUGGAUCGUGGAGUUUGCAUAAUCUGGAAUGCUAUAUUAUUCGAAGUGAAAAGUUUUUUUAAGAAUGAGUUGUUCUUUGAUUUUUGAUUUGUUUCUGAAUAUAACUAGUUUGUAUAACUAUAUACAUGUGGUAGAUAGUAGUAAUUGUUAUUUUAUCUCAUUUUGGUUUUAAAGGUGUUGAAGAAGUAGGCACUGGAGUUUGAUAAUGAUGUUGGAUUUGCUUUUGCUAUUACUUUUUUCUUGUUGUUUCUUUAUUAAGAUUACAAUGUAGCAAAUAAAAUUCUUUGAUGGAUUUUUCAUAAUCUGGAACCGCUUGUAAAUAGAUGCAGCAGUGAAACUAUCUGUGUUAUUGCCUUGUUGUUCUGAACUGGAAAGAAUAAAAUGGGAU
rnacentral:lncRNA from 1 species